AUUUUCAUUGGUUAGAAAUAACGAAAGUAGCCGGAGCGGUCGUAAUGCACACAUUGACACAACUUCGCAAGCAUGAAAUUGGCGAAUUCAACCUAAAGUCAAAAUUAUAGGUACGCAUGAUCGAUGUAACUUCCUUGAUGGUGUGUUGGCUGUUUGCCCAUGUGUAUUUCGGGGUAUAGGAGUAGCCUCCCCUUUUAAAGAUCCAAAAUGGUGAUUUUACAGUGCGGCAUGCAGUCUGUCAUCAACGAAGAGUUUUGACACCUGUAAUACCCAUAUUUCUACCAUUCACCUCUGUAACCUUUGUUGAGUUCAUCAGACUGUCCAAGACAGGAAGUUGAGGAAUAAAGUUGACAGGACAUCCUGAACUA